rnacentral:rRNA from 1 species
CCUACGGGUGGCAGCAGUAGGGAAUAUUGCGCAAUGGGCGAAAGCCUGAAGCAGCGACGCCGCGUGAAGGAUGAAGGUUUUCGGAUUGUAAACUCCUGUUGUUAGAGAAGAUAAUGACGGUAUCUAACGAAUAAUCACCGGCUAACUCCGUUCCAGCAGCCGCGGUAAUACGCAGGGUGCAAGCGUUACUCGGAAUCACUGGGCGUAAAGAGCGCGGAGGCGGGAUAGCAAGUCAGAGGUGAAAUCCUAGGGCUUAACCAUAGAACUGCAUUUGAAACUGUGAUUCUAGAGUAUGGGAGAGGUAGGUGGAAUUCUUGGUGUAGGGGUAAAAUCCGUAGAGAUCAAGAGGAAUACUCAUGGCGAAGGCGACCUGCUAGAACAUAACUGACGCUGAUGAGCGAAAGCGUGGGGAGCAAACAGGAUUAGAUACCCUAGUAGUC